CCAAUCUGUUGCCUCGGCGGGAUUCUCUGCCCCGGGCGCGUCGCAGCCCCGGAUCCCAUGGCGCCCGCCGGAGGACCAACUCAAACUCUUUUUUCUCUCCGUCGCGGCCUACGUCGCGGCUCUGUUUUAUUUUUGCUCUGAGCCUUUCUCGGCGACCCUAGCGGGCGUCUCGAAAAUGAAUCAAAACUUUCAACAACGGAUCUCUUGGUUCUGGCAUCGAUGAAGAACGCAGCGAAAUGCGAUAAGUAAUGUGAAUUGCAGAAUUCAGUGAAUCAUCGAAUCUUUGAACGCACAUUGCGCCCGCCAGUAUUCUGGCGGGCAUGCCUGUCCGAGCGUCAUUUCAACCCUCGAACCCCUCCGGGGGGUCGGCGUUGGGGAUCGGCCCCUCACCGGGCCGCCCCCGAAAUACAGUGGCGGUCUCGCCGCAGCCUCUCCUGCGCAGUAGUUUGCACACUCGCACCGGGAGCGCGGCGCGGCCACAGCCGUAAAACACCCCAAACUCUGAAAUGUUGACCUCGGAUCAGGUAGGAAUACCCGCUGAACUUAAGCAUAUCAAUAAGCGGAGGAA
rnacentral:rRNA from 1 species